UAGCAAUCAUUGGAAUAUUCAUUACAUAUUCCCCCAUAGUAAUAUUGAUCUUAUUGCAUUUUCCUGAGCAAUUGAUAGUUCCUCCAUCUGCAAUCAUUACUUGAAACUUUGGCGCUGAAGCACGCGACCUAUACUCGACCGUCGGAGCAAUUGCCAGGCUUCGAUGAGUAGGAGGACGCAGGGGUCAUUGAGAAACCUUGGGCGUGAGCCUGGGUGGACCGGUCCCUGGUGCAAAUCUUGGUGGUAGUAGCAAAUAUUCAAAUGAGAACUUUGAAGAUUAAGUGGGGAAAGGUUCCAUGUGAACAGCACUUGGACAUGGGUUAGUCGAUCCUAAGAGAUGGGGAAGCCCUGUAUCAAGGGUGCACUCUGCAUGAACAUUGAAAGGGAAUCGGGUUAAUAUUCUCGAACUGGGACAUGGUGGCAGACGACAACAUUAGUAAAUCCGGAGACGUCGUCGAGGGCCCCGGGAAGAGUUAUCUUUUCUUUUUAACAGCUUGCCCACCCUGAAAUCAGCUCAACCGGAGAUACGGUCUAGCAACUGGAUUUUGAACCCAACGUACCUUGAUCCAUAUUCUAAAUACCCUCCAAGCCGCUCCUUCUGAAACGUUGUAGAAAAAAAAGUUAUAGCGAAAAUGCCACAAUGUCUCAGAUGUAGCAGCGAAACCCCAAGACCUUGAGCUCUGAUA
rnacentral:ncRNA from 1 species